rnacentral:rRNA from 1 species
UAACACAUGCAAGUCGAGCGAUUUGUGAGUCGGAGACCGAGGUCAGAGACCGGUGGAUACCCAGUACUGCAUUAAGUGCGGGAGAGGUAAGGAAGGUGUCUGAAAUCCGGCUUCGACUUACGAAUAGCGGCGGACGGGUGAGUAACGCGUGGGCAACCUGCCCCGUACAGCGGGAUAACACCGUGAAAAUGGUGCUAAUACCGCAUGACACAAUAACGCGACAUCGCGAAGUUGUCAAAGGAGAGAUCCGGUACAGGAUGGGCCCGCGUCCAAUUAGCUAGUUGGUGAGGUAACGGCCCACCAAGGCAACGAUUGGUAGCCGAGCUGAGAGGUUGAUCGGCCACAUUGGGACUGAGAUACGGCCCAGACUCCUACGGGAGGCAGCAGUGGGGAAUAUUGCGCAAUGGGGGAAACCCUGACGCAGCAACGCCGCGUGAAGGAAGAAGGUUUUCGGAUCGUAAACUUCUUUGAUUGGGGACGAAAGAAAUGACGGUACCCAAAGAACAAGCCACGGCUAACUACGUG